rnacentral:rRNA from 1 species
AUUGAACGCUGGCGGCAUGCCUUACACAUGCAAGUCGAACGGCAGCACGGGUGCUUGCACCUGGUGGCGAGUGGCGAACGGGUGAGUAAUACAUCGGAACAUGUCCUGUAGUGGGGGAUAGCCCGGCGAAAGCCGGAUUAAUACCGCAUACGAUCCACGGAUGAAAGCGGGGGACCUUCGGGCCUCGCGCUAUAGGGUUGGCCGAUGGCUGAUUAGCUAGUUGGUGGGGUAAAGGCCUACCAAGGCGACGAUCAGUAGCUGGUCUGAGAGGACGACCAGCCACACUGGGACUGAGACACGGCCCAGACUCCUACGGGAGGCAGCAGUGGGGAAUUUUGGACAAAGGGCGAAAGCCUGAUCCAGCAAUGCCGCGUGCGUGAAGAAGGCCUUCGGGUUGUAAAGCACUUUUGCCCGGAAAGAAAUCCUUGACUCUAAUACAGUCGGGGGAUGACGGUACCGGAAGAAUAAGCACCGGCUAACUACGUG